GUGGGGAAUCUUGCGCAAUGGGCGAAAGCCUGACGCAGCCAUGCCGCGUGAAUGAUGAAGGUCUUAGGAUUGUAAAAUUCUUUCACCGGGGACGAUAAUGACGGUACCCGGAGAAGAAGCCCCGGCUAACUUCGUGCCAGCAGCCGCGGUAAUACGAAGGGGGCUAGCGUUGCUCGGAAUUACUGGGCGUACAGGGCGCGUAGGCGGACAGUUUAGUCAGAGGUGAAAGCCCAGGGCUCAACCUUGGAAUUGCCUUUGAUACUUGCUGGCUGUGGUACUGAAGAGGUGAGUGGAAUUACAAGUGAAGAGGUGAAAUUCGAAGAUAUUCGGAAGAACACCCGUGGCGAAGGCUACUCACUGACCCGUUACUGACGCUGAGGCGUGAAAGCGUGGGGAGCAAACAGGAUUAGAAACCCCGGUAGUCC
rnacentral:rRNA from 1 species